rnacentral:RNase_P_RNA from 1 species
AGAGUAAGUUGUUUGGUCGCGUGCUUAGGCAUGAGGAAAGUCCGUGCUCCAUAGAGCAAGAUGCUGGAUAACGUCCAGUGGGGGUGACCCUAAGGAAAGUGCAACAGAGAUAUACCGCCUAUUCGUAGGUAAGGGUGGAAAGGCGAGGUAAGAGCUCACCAGCAUUUAGGUGACUAAAUGGCUAUGUAAACCCCAUCUGGAGCAAGACCAAGUAGGAACUACAAAAAGCAGCUGCUCGUUGCUGUUCCAAAGGUAGGUCGCAUGAGCUUAUUGGUAACAAUAGGCCUUAGAUAGAUGACCAUAUAAACAGAACACGGCUUAUAGAUUUACUCUACUA